CUCCUGCCUCUCUGGCAGAGCUGAUCAAGAGGGCAGGGUCCGCUCUCCAAUCCCCAGGCUCUGGGUCUUGGGAGUGCAGGGGACCAGGCAGCUGCAGGCAGGAGGGCAGGAGGAUCUGAGCAGCUGGGCUAAGGUCAGGCGCAGAGGUUUGGGCUCAGCAGAGACAGCCAAAUGCUCAGCCCAGCUGCCACUGCCUCUUGCUGGGCCCUAUGCAGGAGGCAGACGCUGGCUGCCAGGCUGGCAGGCUCCCCUCCACAGCUGCGAGGCCACGGCCCAGGGGCCUGCUGUUCCCUCUCCUCUUACCGAAUGGCAUUCUUUCCUUUCCUGUCUCUAUCUCCUCAUUCUCCCCUUCCUUCUAAUCCUUUUCUCCCUCUGUCUCUUUGUGUCUUCACUGCUGUCUUUGUCUUAUCGUAUGUCUCUCUUCUUUGUAUUUUCUUCCCUUCAUCUCUGUGUCCUGGCCUCUUUUCAUCUCUCUGUCUCUGGGUUAAAAGUUGGAGGAAAAGGAUAGGAGGUGGGGCCCCAGGGGAAUCCCAGACAAAACUGAGCUGAGGUCUUGCUAUGAUAUGAAGGUUGGUGUUUCCCCAAAAUUCAUAUGUUGAUCCCUAAUUUCCAGAGCAAUAGCGUUAGGAGGUGGGGCCUUUGGAAAGUGACUGGGUCAUGCAAGUGGAGCCCUCAUGAAUGGGACAAGUGCUCUCCUAAGAGAGGCCUGAGGGAACUGUUUGCCCCUUCUGCCAUGUGAGGUCAUAGCUAGAAGGCGCCGUCUGUGAAUAUCUAUGAACAAGAAAGUGAGUGACUGUCACCAGACAUCGCACCUGCCACCACCUCGAUCUCGAACUUCCAGCCUCCAGAACUAGCUGUGCUGCCCAUGUACUUGGUGACACACAGCCCAGCCACCUAACAGGGGUGUGGUGAGGAUCCAAUGGGACAGGGAGCCCUUAGCAGCCAGUGACCCCUCAUCACAGAGAUGUCCCAGUGCCUCCUGGAGCAAUCCCUGAUCAGAUGCAGUUUAUGUGUCAUCGAUGGGAUCACCAGGACCAGGCUAGGGUGCAAUGGUGGGAUUUCGGCUCACUGCAGCCUCCGCCUCCUGGAUUCAAGCGAUUCUCCUACCUCAGCCUCCUGAGUAGCUGGGACUACAGGUUGAAACUGUGAUGUCUAUAAAUGUGAUCCACAUUUAAUGAAACGGCUUUUGAGGCGUUACCCAAGCUGACUUCAACUUUUGAGCCCAGAGUCUCCCAAAGGCCAUGCAUAGCCCUUAGAGUGUGAGGCUGAGAUUAGCUGGCUUUUCUUUACCAUCUGACUGGAGCCCCGUGAGUGCCAAGUCCUGUCUUCUUCUGACAUGUCCGGAGCCCUUCCCUGAGCAGGUGCUCUGCCACGUCUGCUAAACGUGUUGCUAAUGUGGUCCCUUCGGGAGGACACGGAAAAGCAGGGCCUGGGAACCUGAGACUGGCCUUCCUGCCACAGCUGAGAGUCACCAGGCAGUUGGCCUGCUCUGAUUAUAGACAA